CGAGGCGGUGGGCGGUGGGAACACCUGGUGUGUUAACCCGCGCCGCACCGGCCUCUCUGGAGCGCCAUCCCGAAUGGUCGGGGGAGCCCAAGACGAACGGGACUUGGAGGCGAGGCGGGGGGGCGGCGGCUCCUCCCGGGGGGGCGUCUGCGGCGCCCUGUCUUUCCUCUGGGGGACGCCGCGUCCGCUCCGAGACUCCGGGCGCCGGGAAGCCGCGGGUGGGAGCCGGUCCGCUGCGCCGACCGAGCUGCCCGGGCGAGCUCGGCGUUGUGCGAGCUGAUGUGUCUGUGCUACCAGCCUUAGAGAUGCCUCCCACCCCUGUGGCUUCUGCUGAAGCGCGUUGUAUUUAGGCUAAAAAGAAAAAAAAUAAAAUAAAGGUGAGGAGGAUGGCUGUCCACCCGAUCAGAAUAUCCACAGUUUUCACGUUGUGCAGUUUGAAAACUUGAAUCCAUUCCCACCAUUCCUCUUAAUACACGAGUCAUCCUUGUGUUGGGAACUGUUGUGCAUGUGAUAGGUUCGCAAGUACCUGCAGAUUUUGAUCGACAUAUUUGAAGGAGCUCACAGUAUUUGCUCUACUCGAAUUUGUGACUACCGAAUACAAACCAAAGACAGUAUUUAGCAAGCUCCGUGAAGGUAGGGAUCUCAUCUGUUUAGAAUAUGGUGGGUGCUUAAUAAAUAAUUAUAUAAAUAGCUAGGGAUUCACUGCCUUUUACAAAAAUCCAAUAUUUUCACUUGUAUUCUGCAAAUAUUUGUUUUUAUUAAUAAAAAUAAUACAGCAACUGUAUUAUGA